GCCUUGUGGAGUCAAACCCUUGGGCUGCAAAUGCCUUGAGCAACUGAUCAGAACCAAAAGUGCUACCUAAGUAAGAGAAGUCUGGGUGUGCUUGUCGGGAAUCCCGACUGGUCCGUGAACAGGAGGGAUCCUCUGUCUUGGCAAGAUUACAAAUCCAAACCCCGGUCAGAUGAAAACAUCAUUGCUGCUGCUUUCUUGCCCCUGGAAAGAACGCCUGCCUUCCUGUCCUCACUAGAGAGCCCUGGUUCUUAGCUGACAGGCUACUGUUCUGAUCAAAAGCCCACCUGAGAGGUGAGUAUCCCAGGCACAGGGAUCUCCGGCAGAAAUCUGCAUCUCUGCCAAAGAAGCCCCCAGGGAGGAGGUUUCUAAUUUGGUUGAUCACCAGAAGCUUCUGGCAGCAGUUUCAAAGUGUGGAUUCUCCAAACCCACCCCAGGCCUCCUGAAUGGAAUCUCCAACAGUCUCUUCAGGCCAAUGAUGGGGCUCCCAUGCACCUGCCUCACUGGACGAAUGACAGAGGAUGAAGGCCCCAGAAGAACAACUCAUGUCGACAGAGUGGAGGAACGAAGGCCUUGUUCUGUGGCUCCAGAAAUUCAGUUGUUCCCUUUCAACCCAAUUAUCUGCCAAAGAGACCCAGCUGUGGUAUAGUAAAAACAAGGUGUGAACCUACAGUCAAAGAACUGGGCUUCAAAUUCCAACUCUGCACGGCUUUCCCUAAGUCACUGCCUCUGUAGGUCUUGUUUCCUCAAUAAUGAAAUGGGGGUAACAACCUUGACCUUGCCUGUCUCUUGGGGUUAUUGUGACAGUUCUUGUGACAUUCGUAAAAAUGUUUUAUAGGAUGCAAAUUAGUUAACAACUAAGGGAAAUAUGUCAGAAAUGCUAAAUAAAAUAAGGGAAAUAUGUCAGAAAUGCUAAAUAAAAUAUACUCAGAUGCGAUAACUAACUCUUCAUCAAAAGGGGCUUUCUUGUUCCUAAGAAAGGGUGGUAGGUUUUUAAAAAAACAUUGAGAGUAUUCUAAUGUUCUUUUCAAACAGAUGAAACCUUGCAAGAGAACAGUGGGUGGGCGCAGUGCAGUCCCCAGCUGGGAGGAUGGCCUUUGGGUGGCAGGGUCUUUUGGUUGACAUUGACUUUGCACUGAUCGGGUAAGGCUUGGAGCCUUGUAUUCAGUCCUUGACAGCCCACUGUAGGAGGGCAUCACCACCUAGAGUGUGUCCAAAGGAAACAGAUCAGAAUAACAAGGGACCUGAAAACCAUGGCCCAUUAAAAAUAGUUAAAGGAACUCGGUGCACAUAGACUGGAGCAGACUCACGGGACACGGCCCUGUCUUUAGAUGCACAUAGUGACAUAGGUUAGUCAUGUAAAAGAGGGAAUAGCUUCUUUCAGUGUGGAUUCCCCAGAGUGUUAAAGUUGCCGGAGACAAGACGUCGAUUAAGGGGAAGACAA
rnacentral:lncRNA from 1 species